rnacentral:tRNA from 1 species
AUAGAAAUAAAAAAAAAGCUUCUAACUUUUUAGAGAGCACAAAUAU